rnacentral:rRNA from 1 species
UACGUAGGGUGCAAGCGUUGUCCGAAAUUAUUGGGCGUAAAGAGCUCGUAGGCGGUCUGUCGCGUCUGCUGUGAAAACCCAGGGCUUAACUCUGGGCUUGCUUUCGAUACGGGCAGACUAGAGGUAUGCAGGGGAGAACGGAAUUCCUGGUGUAGCGGUGAAAUGCGCAGAUAUCAGGAGGAACACCGGUGGCGAAGGCGGUUCUCUGGGCAUUACCUGACGCUGAGGAGCGAAAGUGUGGGGAGCGAACAGG